AAGGUUUUAAGUUAACUAAACUAAUAAUCUUCAAAAUUGUAAAUAAAGUAAUAUUCUUUAAGCCUUA
rnacentral:tRNA from 1 species